GUACCAGUGGUGGAUGGAACACACACCGGCCUGAUUUGCAAAAUUGGAUAUAUGUCCCUGGUGAGACGGGGUUCGAUUCCCUGCUGGUGCA